rnacentral:rRNA from 1 species
UUUUUGAUUUAAAUUUAAGGUUUGACCUGCCCACUGAGUAAUUUUAAAGGGCCGCGGUAUUUAUAACCGUGCAAAGGUAGCAUAAUCAUUAGUCUUUUAAUUGAAGACUGGAAUGAACGGUUUAACGAAACAUUAACUGUCUCAUAAUAAUUAUUUGAAUUUGAUUUUUUGGUUAAAAAGCUAAAAUUUAAUUAGAGGACGAGAAGACCCUAUAGAGUUUUAUAUAAGUUAUUAUAUUUAAUAUUUAGUAAUUUUAUAUAUUUAUGAUUUUUUAUAUUUUAUUGGGGUGAUAAGAAGAAUUAAGUAACUCUUUGUUUAUAUUAACAUUAAUUUAUGAUUGAAUGAUCCAUAAAUAAUGAUUAGAAGAUUAAAUUACCUUAGGGAUAACAGCGUAAUUUUUUUUGAGAGUUCUUAUCGACAAAAAGGAUUGCGACCUCGAUGUUGGAUUAAGGAAUAUAUUUGGGUGUAGAAGCUUAAAUUAUAGGUCUGUUCGACCUUUAAAUCCU